AGCCUGGCAAUAGGAGGAGGACAGGACGGCCCCGUCGUACAGAAGACCGCCCCAUACCUCUCAUAAACUUUAUUAUCUCCCAUCUAUUGAUCCCUCUCGCCCCUCUUCUCUCUGUUCCCUGUGUCCCCAGAGAAAUGCACCUAGCUUUCAGGCUAGCUCCGCCUGAUGGAUAACCCAGAGUUCGAGGAAGGCGACCCCGGCUCGACUCGGCAGAAAACAGGAGGAAAAAAGGCUCCACUCUUGCCACCUCAAAAAUCACCACCACAAGCCUCCUUUGCACACUUCCCUAAUCACCUGCAGAAGAGGAUCUGAGAUGUCAGCUCAGGAGCAGAGCCCCUGGGUCCGUGGCAUGGAGGGGCUUGACUCAGCAGCCCACCGAGGGCUGUUCCACCACCCUCGCCAGCUUCCUUCCCACCUUCAAAUAUAUAUAGGAGGUCCCGGCUGUCCUGGAGCUCACAGAGACCUGCCGUCUCCACAGUGCUGGGAUCAAAGCCUACAGGGUCCAAUCACUGCAUUCCACAUACUCCUGAGUGUGGAGCCAUCUGGUGGAGCAUCAGCAGCUUACAAGGGACAGCAUUUAAAGAGAAUGGACCCUUCUCCUCUAGCAGACAUGAACUAUGAAUACAUC